UACAGAGGUCCCGAGCGUUGUCCGGAUUUACUGGGCGUAAAGAGCGCGCAGGCGGUCGUUCAAGUCGCGUGUGAAAGCCCCCGGCUCAACUGGGGAGGGUCACGCGAUACUGAUCGACUCGAAGGCAGGAGAGGGAAGUGGAAUUCCCGGUGUAGUGGUGAAAUGCGUAGAUAUCGGGAGGAACACCAGUGGCGAAGGCGACUUCCUGGCCUGUUCUUGACGCUGAGGCGCGAAAGCUAGGGGAGCAAACGGG
rnacentral:rRNA from 1 species